rnacentral:siRNA from 1 species
UUGAAAGAAGUUUAGGUAAUCUGC